ACUGAUCAAACAGGAAGUGCCCUGCCUAUAAAGGAAGCAGGAAGUUGAGGGUUCCUUCUUUAAUCUUCAAGGCUGCACAGAGCAGGCAGCAACAGAAAUUUUUCACUUCUUCUUCAAUCUGGUGAAUAAAUCAAAAGAGUUGCUAACUGAUUCAAUUCAAAGACACAUGGGCAGCCUGAUCAAAACUAGAUGAAGAGCUGUUAGCAUGUCUGCUACACCACGCUGCUUCACCUGCUUCCUUCAACAUUUGGUGUUUCCUCGCUCUGAACUCUGAAGAGUAGGAUCUGUGCUGCAGCUGGAAGGAGUUUCUUCGGAUUAAAGUUUACUUGUUAGCUGUUUCAGCUAUAGUUUAAAGUCUGUUUUCUUUAAUUUUCGUUUGCAGUUUUCUCUGAAUACACUUUAAUAAUAAAAUGUCUUAAUUUGUCUCAUG